rnacentral:rRNA from 1 species
AAUGAACGCUGGCGGCGUGCCUAACACAUGCAAGUCGAGCGAGAUGUAUAUGGACGAAACUUCGGUCUAGGAAAUAUAUUGACAGCGGCGGACGGGUGAGUAACGCGUAGGCAACCUGGCCUUAACACAGGGAUAGCCUCGGGAAACCGGGAUUAAAACCUGAUAAUGCCAAAUAGUCACAUGGCUGUUUGGCCAAAGAUUUAUCGGUUAAGGAUGGGCCUGCGUCUGAUUAGUUUGUUGGUGGGGGUAACGGCCUACCAAGACUACGAUCAGUAGCCGACCUGAGAGGGUGAUCGGCCACAUUGGAACUGAGACACGGUCCAAACUCCUACGGGAGGCAGCAGUGGGGAAUAUUGCACAAUGGGCGAAAGCCUGAUGCAGCAACGCCGCGUGAGCGAUGAAGGCCUUUGGGUCGUAAAGCUCUGUCCUUGGGGAAGAAAAAAAUGACGGUACCCAAGGAGGAAGCCCCGGCUAACUACGUGCCAGCAGCCGCGGUAA